rnacentral:rRNA from 1 species
GCCCAGAAGCAGGGGAUAACACCUGGAAACAGAUGCUAAUACCGUAUAACAGAGAAAACCGCCUGGUUUUCUUUUAAAAGAUGGCUCUGCUAUCACUUCUGGAUGGACCCGCGGCGCAUUAGCUAGUUGGUGAGGUAACGGCUCACCAAGGCGAUGAUGCGUAGCCGACCUGAGAGGGUAAUCGGCCACAUUGGGACUGAGACACGGCCCAGACUCCUACGGGAGGCAGCAGUAGGGAAUCUUCCACAAUGGACGCAAGUCUGAUGGAGCAACGCCGCGUGAGUGAAGAAGGGUUUCGGCUCGUAAAGCUCUGUUGUUAAAGAAGAACGUGGGUGAGAGUAACUGUUCACCCAGUGACGGUAUUUAACCAGAAAGCCACGGCUAACUACGUGCCAGCAGCCGCGGUAAUACGUAGGUGGCAAGCGUUAUCCGGAUUUAUUGGGCGUAAAGCGAGCGCAGGCGGUCUUUUAAGUCUAAUGUGAAAGCCUUCGGCUCAACCGAAGAAGUGCAUUGGAAACUGGGAGACUUGAGUGCAGAAGAGGACAGUGGAACUCCAUGUGUAGCGGUGAAAUGCGUAGAUAUAUGGAAGAACACCAGUGGCGAAGGCGGCUGUCUGGUCUGUAACUGACGCUGAGGCUCGAAAGCAUGGGUAGCGAACAGGAUUAGAUACCCUGGUAGUCCAUGCCGUAAACGAUGAUUACUAAGUGUUGGAGGGUUUCCGCCCUUCAGUGCUGCAGCUAACGCAUUAAGUAAUCCGCCUGGGGAGUACGACCGCAAGGUUGAAACUCAAAAGAAUUGACGGGGGCCCGCACAAGCGGUGGAGCAUGUGGUUUAAUUCGAAGCUACGCGAAGAACCUUACCAGGUCUUGACAUCUUCUGCCAACCUAAGAGAUUAGGCGUUCCCUUCGGGGACAGAAUGACAGGUGGUGCAUGGUUGUCGUCAGCUCGUGUCGUGAGAUGUUGGGUUAAGUCCCGCAACGAGCGCAACCCUUAUUACUAGUUGCCAGCAUUCAGUUGGGCACUCUAGUGAGACUGCCGGUGACAAACCGGAGGAAGGUGGGGACGACGUCAAAUCAUCAUGCCCCUUAUGACCUGGGCUACACACGUGCUACAAUGGAUGGUACAACGAGUUGCGAAACCGCGAGGUUUAGCUAAUCUCUUAAAACCAUUCUCAGUUCGGACUGUAGGCUGCAACUCGCCUACACGAAGUCGGAAUCGCUAGUAAUCGCGGAUCAGCAUGCCGCGGUGAAUACGUUCCCGGGCCUUGUACACACCGCCCGUCACACCAUGAGAGUUUGUAACACCCAAAGCCGGUGGGGUAACCUUUUAGGAGCUAGCC